AGCGGUUUCCGUUACAUUUGUAGUCAUCCACAUGAGAACCUUUCUCGGCCUUCACUGGUCGGUUGGGGGAUCAUGUACUUUACUUUGAAAAAAUCAGAGUGUUUCAGGCAGGCGUUUGCAUGAAUACACAAGCAUGGAAUAAUGGAAUAGGACUAGGGUCCAUUUUAUUGGUUAUUGGACCAUAGUAAUGAUUAAUAGGGACAGUUGGGGGCAUUAGUAUUUAAUUGUCAGAGGUGAAAUUCUUGGAUUUUAUUAAAGACUAACUUAUGCGAAAGCAUUUGCCAAGGAUGUUUUCAUUAAUCAAGAACGAAAGUUAGGGGAUCAAAGACGAUCAGAUACCGUCCUAGUCUUAACUAUAAACUAUACCGACUAGGGAUUGGUUGGGUCAUUAGAGCCCAAUCAGCACCUUAU
rnacentral:rRNA from 1 species